UUCUAUUUAUAUGAACAUAGUACAAUGUCUUCCUGGAGGGGUAAAAUUUUCCAUUACAAGGUUUUAAGAGAGGCCAUUAAUUUACUGUUCAAUUUGCGUUCAUUUUCAAAUUUGCCGCGCGAGUAUCUAUGUAGCGUCGCGUGGUCAUUGGUCAUCACAUUUCAUUUUCCUAAGAUAACCGAUAACCUAAAAAUUUAGUAAAAAUUUUGAUUGGAAAAAAAUGCAUCGAUAAGGCGGAUAAGGGGGUGUGGGAAAUGGAAAUUAGUGGCUUUUUUGCUGUACUGUCUGCUAGUUUUUGCUCUGGGCUCUGGCUUAAUCUCUUGUUUAAACAAUUUUAAUCAGCUGAAAGUGGCCUACAAAAAAAACCAAGAAGGAAAUGUAUAGCCUUGUGGCUAUGAAAGGCAAAAGAGAGAUAUAAAAAGUGUAUUAGCUAGUUGGAAGAAAGUCCACAUUGUCCAUGCAGAAUAAGUUAUUACUUUAUCAACAAAUAUCAAGAAGAUAGCAAGGUCACGAGCAACAACUUCAUAAGUUCAAGAAUAUCGAGGAAAUCCAGCUCCUCGAUACUAAUGGGCAAACUAGAAGAUUGAAGAGGACAAAGCAUUUUGAACUAGUUUGAGUGAUAGGUGAUAGUGAAAAACGGAGCAUAGUGCUUGUGUGCUGUGCCUGUGUAUGUUAGAAUAGUGCACGAUCUUGUUAGAUUAGAUAAGAGACGCUAUGGGGUAAGCUCUUCAUUUUAAGAAACAGUAAUAAUUUAGGUUGAAUUAAAAUUGCUCAUUGGUCAGUUAUGUCCAGAUUGUUUUUUUAUGUUUGGCAAAAAGGACUUAAGUCAGAAUUGCACAUUGAUAAUGUUUUGAUGAUUUCUGGACCAGAAAAAAACUGUUGUAGAUGUAAACUGUAUGUACAGUAGAAUCUACUACAGUACUGUAGAAAUCAUCAAAACAUUAUCGAUGUGCAAUUCUGACUUAAGCCCUUUUUCCCAAACAUCAGAGAAUUGUAAUGUACAAUAAUUCUCCUAUCUGCUUUUUCAUGAAUUUUGUAGGAGACGAAAAACCAUUUUUAGGAUCAUCUGCUUUCACAUGUAAAUUUUGACAUGUUUUGUAGUAAAUAGAUAGUUGAAUUUACUACAAAACAUGUCAAAAAAUAUAUGAAAACAGGAGGUGACUAUAAAAAAAGUUUUUAGUCUCUCUUACAAAACUCAUGAAAAAACAAAUCGGAGGUAUGUCACAUCAGUGACUAUAUCCAGGGAAUGUCUAAAAAAUAUACUUUGAUGUCCCAAGAACCAAAUAUAACCUACAGUCCAUCUAAUUUACUUACCGUUGCACGUCAUUAUCUACGCCAGAGAUCUAAGUUGACAUAGUUGCCAAAGUAUAAAAAGAUCCUGAAUCCAUUUUAAAUCAAAUAUAUCACAUAAUUAUUGUAAACGUGGAUUAUACAACAAAACAAAUUAAUAUUCAAUGUAAAUAAGUAAAAACUUAAGAAAUAGAGAACAAGAAUUAAGUUAUAAUCUUUUAAGAUUUGCAGUGCAAGAGUUUUUGCACUGCAUUGUUAAUAAUUAAAAAACGGCUCCGAACUCUUGGCAAAAAGCCGGUAGGUUUCUUUGUAUAAGUAUGUCUACAAUAACAACUAAUAUAUAUAUAUAUAUAUAUAUAUAUAUAUAUGUGUAUAUAUAUAAAAAAAAUUAUUAAAAAAAAUAUAAAAAUAAUUAUUUAUUAGUAGAAUUGUUUAUUAUAUUAGUAUUAGUUUUAGGAUAAGAUACGAAAAAAUGACUAAUAAAAUAAAAAAUAGUAAAAUUGGCGAAUGGAUUUAGUGUCCGCAGUCAUAUAAACCCAAACAAACAACAAAAAACAAUAACAACUAAAAAAGUUGUCAGAUACCUCGAUUAUUCCAAGUCGUUAUAAAAUUAGGUGAAAUUUAUAUUUUUAUAGUAGAGGGUCUUUUUAUAGUAAAGUAAAUAAUAAAAACAGUAAAUAUAAUAAAUAAAACAGAUACUUAUAGUAAAGAAUAUAAACAAAUAUGAAGUGUCAUCACCGUAACUGUCAAAUAAAUGUUACCAAUUUAUUCUAAAAUGUCACCUUCGUUCGAUUACAGUUACAGUGUGAUCCGAACAAAUCUGCUUCAUAAAAACGCUUUAUAAUACAUUUAUACAAAUUAAAUGAAACAUAUUAUUGUGUAUUUCUUUAGGUUAACAUUAAUAGAAAUCUUCAAAUAUUAUUUCUACGCGUAUAUAAUAAAAUAUGUCUAGUGGCUGUAAUUCCAGUGUACUCAGCAAAGUGAUUCUAAAAAAGAACACACCUACCGCCUAAAUAUUUCGUGUUGGUAUCAUGCGACCUCACAGGCUACGACGCAGAUGACGCGCAACAGUUAGUAAAUUAGACGAAGUAUGUAGAUAUAUACAGGUUGUAACAAAAAUACAGGUCAUAAAUUUAAUCACAUAUUCUGGGACCAAAAAUAGUUUGAUUGGACCUAACUUACCUUAGUACAAAUUUGCACACAAGAAAAGUUACAGCCCUUUGAAGUUAUAUAUAUAUAUAUAUAUAUAAUAGCACUAAGGGCCUUAGAGGCCCAUGGCUUGAAAAGUUUGUUUUUUUUUCUUCAUUUUCACGUUUCUUUAUGUACUGAGAUCUUCUCUGGCUUGAUAUGUGAUUUUUCUCCAUUCCUUCCUGUUAUUCAUUUUUCUUUUCUGACCCUGUAGCACCAUUCUUUCCAAAUCUUUUUCGACCUCUUGCUUCCAUCUAUUUUUCGGCCUUCCUCUUCUCUUUCUUGAAGCUGUAGUGUAGUUUAGUACCAUUUUUGGAGUCCUCGUGUUUGGCAUCCUUUCAAUGUGACCUCGCCAUCUAAGUCUCUGUACCUUUAUCACUCAUUUGAAGUUACAAGAUGAAGUGAUUUUUUCCAAUAUAUCGAAAACUAUUAGAUAUUUUUUAUUGAAAAUGGACAUGUGGCAUUAUUAUGGCAGCAGUAUCUUACGAAAAAACUAUAGUAAAAUUUGGACACCCCAUAAAAAUUUUAUGGGGGUUUUGUUCCUUUAAACCCCCCCAAACUUUUGUGCACGUUUCAAUUUAAUUAUUAUUGUAGUACCAUUUAAACACAACGUUUUAAAAACUUUUUUGCCUCUUAUUGCUUUUUUUGAAAAGUCAAUUUUUAUCGAAAUAUUUUGAAUAUUUGUCAAAUCCACCACAUAUUUGUAUAUGGUUAAGUACGAUUAUGGAGACAUGGUAAUAAUAUGCA